UACGUAGGUGGCAAGCGUUGUUCGGAAUUAUUGGGCGUAAAGGGCGCGUAGGCGGCUUGUUAAGUCGGUUGUGAAAGCCCGGGGCUCAACCCCGGAGAGUCGACCGAUACUGGCGAGCUAGAGUACGGAAGAGGUAGCUGGAAUUCCCGGUGUAGCGGUGAAAUGCGCAGAUAUCAGGAGGAACACCAAUGGCGAAGGCAGCUCGCUGGGACGUGACUGACGCUGAGACGCGAAAGCGUGGGGAGCAAACAGG
rnacentral:rRNA from 1 species